AAUAUCACUACAACAACUUCCUUCACUCUGAGACUGACUGCUGCAGCAGUGGACUAGACGUACGAUCACUGAAACCAUGCUGAAGGUAGCAUUUGUGCUUGGAUGCCUCCUGAGCCUCACUUUGACUCAACCUAUGGGUAUGGCACGCAAAAGACUUGUGCGCUCAAGCUCUGAAUCUUACUCUGGGUCAGGGGAAGCCAAUCAACUGCCACAGUUAAACAAUCAACAGCUGCAGCUACUCAUACAAUUACUACUUGCCAGCCUAGCAACAACCACUACUAGAGCUCCAACCACUACAACAGCUGCAACCACCCCUCGUCCGGCUGUAACUGGUUAAAAACUGGCAUUUAACUAUUGAAUGAAAGUUAGCAUGCAGUGCAACUGUCAAUUUGUGAUAUUUUAAUGAGAAAACAUAGCAGUGUCUACCAAAUAAAAUUUAUGAAUAGAAAAUGUGUGUUUUUCUGUUUGUAAGAAAUGUAAGUCCCUCAGCUAACCAUUAUAUUCCCCUUUCAAUAAAGAGUUUACAUCACAUGU